GGGGCUGAUCGGUUUCGACGUUGGAACCGGGAGUCGAACGUGCGACCCGAGUUGCUCAGACUCGUGAAACGGGGCACCCAAUGAGACGCCAAUACGGACGAUCUCACUCUCGCUGCCUGAUCCGUCAGGUGACGUGAGGAACACAGCGACCGGCGACGGCACGCGGGGCCAGCUCAUCGCAGCCCGGCAACAGAAGCGGUGGGGGACGGUGCGGAGAGACCACUGACGGUGCGGAAAGACCACUGACCUCAGAGAAAGUUCUGGCGGGACAGGAGCUCCGGCUCCACUCGACCCGGCGAGCCGGCGACCGUGAGCCGGGAACUCGGGAAUGGUCGUAGCGCGAACGGUGACCUUUCAGCGGACGGGGGUUCGAUUCCCCCCAGCUCCACUU
rnacentral:tmRNA from 1 species